UACGUAGGGGGCAAGCGUUGUCCGGAUUUAUUGGGCGUAAAGAGCGUGUAGGCGGUCAGGUAGGUCCGUUGUGAAAACUCGAGGCUCAACCUCGAGACGCCGAUGGAAACCAUCUGACUAGAGUCCGGAAGAGGAGAGUGGAAUUCCUGGUGUAGCGGUGAAAUGCGCAGAUAUCAGGAGGAACACCGGUGGCGAAGGCGGGUCUCUGGACCAUAACUGACGCUGAUGCACGAAAGCUAGGGGAGCAAACAGG
rnacentral:rRNA from 1 species